rnacentral:lncRNA from 1 species
AGGGUGUAGUUAACGUGUGUUCAGUCUUUCUAUCAUGAAUUCUGACUAGAUGGCAGGUCAUGGAUAAAUCGUUAAAUCUCAUCAUCAAUCAUAUGAUAAAUUCGAUUAGCUCAAGUCUAAUUGUAAUCCUUAUAAAUUUUUUUUUCAUCAAUUACACUGUUGUGGUCACAGACUCUCAGACUUAGUCUCUCAAAUCCCAUAG